rnacentral:misc_RNA from 1 species
GAUGAAGAACGUAGCGAAAUGCGAUAAGUAAUGUGAAUUGCAGAAUUCAGUGAAUCAUCGAAUCUUUGAACGCAUCUUGCGCUCCUUGGUAUUCUGAGGAGCAUGCCUGUUUGAGUGUCAUUAAAUUCUCAACUACACUGACUUUGAAUUGGUGUGGCUUGGAUUUGGGGGGAAAAUUGUUGUGGGCUUUUUGUAUAGUCUGCUCCCAUGAAAUUGAUUAGCGGUACCUUUGUGGAACUGUCUACAGGUGUGAUAAUUAUCUACAUCUUAGACAUCUGCUGGAAUGCUGCUCUCUAAACCUUACUUGUAUUGACAAUCUUGACCUCAAAUCAGGUAGGACUACCCGCUGAACUUAAGCAUAUCAAUAAGCGGAGGA